rnacentral:rRNA from 2 species
UCCUACGGGGGAGGCAGCAGUAGGGAAUCUUCCACAAUGGACGCAAGUCUGAUGGAGCAACGCCGCGUGAGUGAAGAAGGCUUUCGGGUCGUAAAACUCUGUUGUUGGAGAAGAAUGGUCGGCAGAGUAACUGUUGUCGGCGUGACGGUAUCCAACCAGAAAGCCACGGCUAACUACGUGCCAGCAGCCGCGGUAAUACGUAGGUGGCAAGCGUUAUCCGGAUUUAUUGGGCGUAAAGCGAGCGCAGGCGGUUUUUUAAGUCUGAUGUGAAAGCCCUCGGCUUAACCGAGGAAGUGCAUCGGAAACUGGGAAACUUGAGUGCAGAAGAGGACAGUGGAACUCCAUGUGUAGCGGUGAAAUGCGUAGAUAUAUGGAAGAACACCAGUGGCGAAGGCGGCUGUCUGGUCUGUAACUGACGCUGAGGCUCGAAAGCAUGGGUAGCGAACAGGAUUAGAUACCCUGGGGUAGUCC